rnacentral:rRNA from 1 species
UACGAAGGGGGCUAGCGUUGUUCGGAAUCACUGGGCGUAAAGGGCGCGUAGGCGGCCAUAUAAGUCGGGGGUGAAAGCCUGUGGCUCAACUCCAGAACUGCCUUCGAUACUGGCGAUCUCGAGUUCGGGAGAGGUGAGUGGAACUGCGAGUGUAGAGGUGAAAUUCGUAGAUAUUCGCAAGAACACCAGUGGCGAAGGCGGCUCACUGGCCCGAGUACUGACGCUGAGGUGCGAAAGCGUGGGGAGCAAACGGG